rnacentral:rRNA from 1 species
CCAGACUCCUAAGGGAGGCAGCAGUGGGGGAUAUUGCACAAUGGAGGGAACUCUGAUGCAGCGACGCCGCGUGAGGGAAGAAGGUUUUCGGAUUGUAAACCUCUGUCUUCGGUGACGAAACGAGACGGUAGCCGAGGAGGAAGCCACGGCUAACUACGUGCCAGCAGCCGCGGUAAUACGUAGGUGGCAAGCGUUGUCCGGAAUUACUGGGUGUAAAGGGAGCGUAGGCGGGAAAGCAAGUUGAAUGUUUAAGGUACGGGCUCAACCUGUACAAGCGUUCAAAACUGUUUUUCUUGAGUGGAGUAGAGGUAAGCGGAAUUCCUAGUGUAGCGGUGAAAUGCGUAAAUAUUAGGAGGAACACCAGUGGCGAAGGCAGCUUACCAGACUGAGUCUGACGCUGAUGCACGAGAGCAUGGGUAGCGAACAGGAUUAGAUACCCUCGUA